rnacentral:rRNA from 1 species
GUAAACGGAAAAGACCCGAAAUUUCCGAAGAGGGAGAUUCACGUCUUCUCGCGGGUUCGGCGCAUCCAUUCCUCUCCGACGACCCUGCUCCCGUCCGGACUCGUCCGGUGCGUGGCGGUGGGGUUGCAGAGGGUGGUGUGGAGGCCUGCGGCGGACCGCACUUCUCCCUUAGUAGGACGUCGUGACCCGUCCGGUCAUGGUCAUAAGGGUGCAGGGUGGAGACUGCCCGGUCGUGCUUGCACGUUUUCGGGCAGACCCCUGCGCUCCGGCCAUGAAUUUCGGUCGGUAUCGAAUGACAGUGUUAGGUCACUUGCCGGCGGAGGGAACUCCUGCCAGUGAGUGCGUGUGGCUCUCGACAAGGUGCCGGGAUGUUGGGUCAAGGCGGGCUCCCGUCCGUCUGGCCCCGCUCGGCCCUGUUGGUCUUGCUGCUCUCACGCUGGCCAAUUUCAUAACACUAGUCUACGGCGAAUCAGUUUUGGGCUCUUGUCCGACCCGUCUUGAAACACGGACCAAGGAGUUCAGCGUGUACGCGAGUCAUUGGGUGGUCAAACCCAAAGGCGUAAUGAAAGUGAAGGGAACUUUACGUUUCUGAGGGAGGAUGAGUCGGUUACCCGCAAGGGGCUGCUCCGCACUCCCGGGGCGUCUCUUUCUCAUUGCGAGUGGAGGCGCACCCAGAGCGUACACGCUGAUACCCGAAAGAUGGUGAACUAUGCCUGGCCAGGACGAAGCCAGGGGAAACCCUGGUGGAGGUCCGCAGCGAUUCUGACGUGCAAAUCGAUCGUCGGAGCUGGGUAUAGGGGCGAAAGACCAAUCGAACCAUCUAGAGAACUCCGGCUUUUCUGAACUCUGUUUUUGAAGCCGGGGGCUCGGAUCAGAGUGCCAAGUGGGCCAAUUUUGGUAAGCAGAACUGGCGCUGUGGGAUGAACCAAACGUCGAGUUAAGGCGCCCAAAUCGACGCUCAUGUGAAACCAUGAAAGGCGUUGGUUGCUUAAGACAGCAGGACGGUGGCCAUGGAAGUCGGAAUCCGCUAAGGAGUGUGUAACAACUCACCUGCCGAAGCAACUAGCCCUGAAAAUGGAUGGCGCUGUAGCGUCGUGCCUAUACUCGACCGUCAACGGCAAAGAUGGCUGGCGGGCAACCGUCGGCCGUUACGCCUUGACGAGUAGGAGGGCCGCGGCGGCGUGCGUAGAAGGGUCUGGGCGUGAGCCUGCCUGGAGCCGCCGUCGGUGCAGAUCUUGGUGGUAGUAGCAAAUACUCCAGCGAGGCCCUGGAGGACUGAUGUGGAGAAGGGUUUCUUGUGAACAGCUGUUGCACAAGAGUCAGUCGGUCCUAAGCCCUAGGAGAAAUCCGAAGCGAUGGGUUGCCGUUAAUGAUCAUUAUACCAUUAUGAAGGCACCCGUUUGGGCGAAAGGGAAUCCGGUUCCUAUUCCGGAACCUGGCAGUGGAACCGUUCCAAUUCGGGCCCUCUGAGGACUCGUCAGGGCAACCUGAAUAGACCCGGAGACGCCGACAGGAGGUUGGGGGAGAGUUGUCUCUUCUCUAUAAGCGAUCGAGUUCCCUGGAAACUUCUAGCAAGGAGAUAGGGUUUGGAUCGCGAAGAGCACUGCAGUUACGGCAGUGUCCCAAUCUUCCUCUCGGACCUUGAAAAUCCGGGUGAGGGCCACGAUGGAACCCCACGCCAGACCGUACCCAUAUCCGCAGCAGGUCUCCAAGGUGCAAAGCCUCUAGUCGAUAGAU